AUACGGUUUUAACUAAUUCUCAGGAUUCUUACUUGCGGUGUACAUGUUUUGGUAUGAAUAGUAAAUAUGUACAACCGUGAGUGGAGACUGGGGGUUGGUUAGUCAACAGCUU